GCCGCUUCCGCUUCCCUCGCUUUUGCCUCAGGGCGGUUGAGUAGCGAAGAGCCGCCGCCAGAGUGGCAGCAACAACAGAAACAGAAAUAAUUACACAAAGAAGCCACCGUGGCAUUAUACAAACAGAAGUAAUAGCAAAAUAUAACAAUAAAUCAUUUUUUAUUCGAGCGGGCAUAUUAACUGAAGGGUAGUUUUAACUAUUUUUAAAAAUCUUCUUUAUUUCUUGUGCACUUUUUAGAGAAAAAUUAUAUAUAUUAUAUAUAUAUAUAUAUGCUUUUAUGUAGCACUGCUCUAGGACCUCCCUAUCCUUUGGAGAGUCAUUGUAAUCAAAAGCUGUAACUGCCUCAAAAAACCCUUAAAUCAAUGACUCCUGUAUGCCAGAGAAAGAUGCUCUACUUGCCUCGCUUUUUACAGCUCCCAGCUGGGUGUGCAUCUUUAUACCUCCAAACCAGUGAACUGCAGGUGGUUCUAGAAAUGGGUCUUGCCAUGAUUAAUACUGUAUAGCCUUAGCUUGGAAUCCCAGCUCCACUCUCACUUCCAGAGAAAGACAUUCAUAAAUAAAAUAAAUAAAUAAAUAAUGAGAAGUCUCUUUUUACUUUCUUUUUAGAUUUAUCCUGAUGCUAAGAAACGGUGGCACAGCCUGAGUUCCAGAAAAGGGGGUGAAUUUUGUGCCUUCCAAAAGACAAAAGAAUGAUCAUCAGUCUGAAGGUCAGCCCUCCAUUGUGAAUAUUCAUGUUUUAGCAUUAAAUCCAUAGCCAUUCCAACAGAGCUUAAAAGCAGUGAAAAAACAGUUUCUUGCAGAUUAUUUUAAUAAGAAGCCAUAUCCCACUGAAAAGUAGUUACUGCUGUGCUUGGAAAGCUGAUGUUGCAUCAUUUGGGGGGAGGGGGGAGAAAGCGACACAUCUGCCUAAAGGCAAUAAGAAAUCUUAAGCCAUCCGUGCUUUGGGGCUUCAAUAUGCCCGAACUUAAAAAUGUGAAGCCCAGUUUCAGGUUAACGUGAAUUGGAGGAUGUGUGAGUUGUCCCCCCCCCCCCCAAGCAAUAUAAGGCAAUCAAGUUUGCCUGUUCAGCCUUCUGUCAUGAAUUCUUUAGUUGAGAUUUCUGCAUUCCAUGGGAUGGUGGAAUAGAUGACCCUUGGGUCUCUUCCAACUCUACAAUUCUAUGAUUCUGUUAAUCUUAAUCUCCCAACCCAACCAGAGUCCAUGCCUUUCCAACAUUUUUGGGACAGUGGGCACAUCUGGAAUUUUGAGAAAGUGCUGUGGGUGCCAGUCACAAAAUGGUUGUUGUGGGGUGUGUUGCAUAACACAAAAUAGCUGCCAUAUUUAAAAGAGCAGAGAAGGACAGGCACCUGAAAUGGUGUUGGUAUGCUUCUCCGCCAAUGGAAAAAUGACUCCUACCUGAAUCACUACUACACAGAGUGAAGUUCUUUGCACCUUUCCACUGUUUGGGAUGGGAGUGUGAAUAUCCAAUCCUGGCACCCAACAAACAUGGGCAUGUGUGUCCUACCCCCUUUCAACUUCCAUUCACCUGAAUGCAUGGUUAAAAGGCUCUUGGUGGAAUCACUUCUCACCCGUCUCUCUUUCCUUUCCUUCUCUGGACAGCCUUCAUCAUAAAUGUCAAAUUUCUAUUUUGUUUACUUUUUAAAUGAAACUCAAUUUCCUGAAAUGCUCUGAUCUUGUAUCUGCUGCUUUCUGAGCGACUGUCAUUGGCACUCUGGUACAAUAAUGAAACAAACUAAAAUUAAAAGCUGUCUUCCUGUGUAUUUGGAAAGUGUGCAGAUUUCUGUGCCAGUUCUGUCAGACAAAUAAAUUGCCUAUCCUCCAGCAGCAUCGAUCCAGGGUUGCAGUGGGGAAUGGUUCUCAUGGCACAUGUAAGCUGAAUUCCAACCUGACUCCCCAAUCAUCAUGUUCCAGAGUAGCUUAUUACUUUAAUAUUGAGAAAUAGUCCUCAGAUGUAUAUUAAGGCUUGUAUUCUGAGCAAUCAUGGUAACAUAUGGAAGAAGAUAGAUGUAAUGGUGCCCUUGUAAUGGUGCCCUUGUAUGCUAAUGCACAGGCUCUUUGGGGAGUGGGCAAUGGGGUCACAUCAAUGCUGACAAACAGUCAAGGCAAAUGACUUUGAUGCAGGGGGCAAUGAGAAGGGUUCAAAGGAAGAUUUAAGGUCCUUGGGCGUCUCAAGGGUCUGUUCAUGCAUCUUUCAGGUGACCAGAAAUCCCUAGGCACACCCCUUGCUGCUUUUUUUAGGAUCUUGAAUGGAUUCCCUGCUCAAAGCUUUAUGUUUAAGUGAUGUAAGCAGUGCUUUUUUAAAAAGAAAAGAAAAAAAAGGUGCCAGUACUCACCAUGAAGUUGUUAUAGUAAGUGCCACAGUUUUAACGUUUUGGGGGGGAGGUGCCGGUACUGUGUAUCCUCGAGUACCCCCAGAAAAAAAGCACUGGAUGCAAGACCAGUAAAAGUUACAUUGCUUUCUCUUUGGUGGCUCCAAAGCUAUGGGACAUUUGCCCAGUGAUUCUUCUUGACGUUAAGCCUUCUUGUUCAGAUGAGCUUUUCGGAAGCUAUAAUGUCAUUUGCUCCCAGUGUCUAUUAUUCUCAUUGCCUUGUUUUGCAUAAGAUGUAUUGAGCUGUAUUAUGAUAUAUAACUAUAUUUUAUAAAUUACAUUGAUGUUAAUUAUAUUAUAAUCUCUCUUUUUAAAAAUCUUGUUUUAUUUAACUGCAAUGUUAAUUCAAUUAUGUGUUUCAGUAAGAAUACUGAUCCUGCAGUUGUGGCUCCAAGUCCAAUAUCCAAUGGUACACAUUAGAUCAUGAGCUACUAUAAGUUUUUGGAGAGGAUGUGAUUUAAAUUUGUUAAAUGCACUGAUUCUUACUUCAAGAGGCAAUGCUGUUUGCAAUGGGCUAUAUAAUGGCAGCUUCUUAAGUAUUCAGGGGCAAAAACUUUUAGGCUUUUAUGAGUGAAGAUCAACAUCCUGUCUUUUAUGCAGAAGACAGAAGCUGAUUGCCCAGACUGUCCAAGAUACUUGCACACACAAUGCAAUUUCAGUAGUCUAGCCUAAAGAUUAUUGUGAAAUGAAUCCAUUUCAUUCAAGAACAAGGUUAUUGCAAUUUCAUAUAUCCUGGAGUAUCAGAGUAUGAUUUCAGAUUCAUCUAGAUUUGGUGAAAGUGGUCUCCCUCUAAUUAAAGAGACAAGAGAUUUGUGUGUAAAUUGUCAAACUAAGUUUUAGAUUGUUCAGAAAAAAGAACAGGAGAAAACCCUCCCUUGUGUGAUUGAGCUAGUGUAGCCUUACUUAACCACCAUAUUUUCAUGUUUGGAGCCAAGAUUUUGUAAUUGCAACCAUUAUUUCUAAUCACAACCCUUGUUUUCUAACAAAAGGACCAAAGCAGGUUGUCAAACAAGAAUUCUUGCCGUUCUCUGGCUGUUUCCUGCUGCAGAGUCCAUUUGGUAAAUGGACAUUGUUCACGGAACGGCAUAAAAGUGUGUUGUAAUCUGCUAGGUUUAAACACAGCAUGUGAGCCAAAGGGUUGAAAUGAAAGUGAGCCAAAUACCAAUUAGGAAACAAGGCAUCAUUUAUUUAAAUAGAAUGGCUAACCAUUAGGAAAGGUUCUUCAGCUGAGGAAAGACUCGACUACUUACUCUCCUCUACCAAGACGUUAAGGGGCAUAUUUCAUGUAAACCUCUAUUGCAAUGAGAUGCUCACAAUUACUCUAACCUAGUUAGUUUUAAGUCUAGGAAUAGCUGACAGAAGCUACAUAGCAACACAAACAGCUUGCUUGGUAGCCAAUUCUUAUUUCCAAAAUAAAGAAAUUUGAGGUCUGAAGGCAUAUAAGAACAAGAGGAUUUUGGGGAGGGGGGAAUUUUUGAGCAUUUUUUUUUUUUAAAUCCACAUUUCCCCAGUAUGCCAUUACAUGAAAGAGCUGGUUACCAUGAAGGGGUGUGGUGUGUUUAUUUUAAGGGGG